CAUCUACACCUCAAACCAACAUCAACCAGUCAAUCAACUGCAACGACACCUACAGAUCAAUCAACAACAACUGUAACAUCGACAUCAAUUGCACCAACAUCUACCACUCAGUCAACAACAACUGAUACAUCCUCAACACAAACUGCACCAACAUCUACCCCUCUAUCAUCAACUGCACCAGCAUCUUCAUCAACUGCAUCAAAUAUUUUAUUAUCUACAUCUACACAACCAACAUCAACCAGUCAAUCAACUGCAACGACACCUACAGAUCAAUCAACAACAACUGUAACAUCGACAUCAAUUGCACCAACAUCUACCACUCAGUCAACAACAACUGAUACAUCCUCAACACAAACUGCACCAACAUCUACCCCUCUAUCAUCAACUGCACCAGCAUCUUCAUCAACUGCAUCAAAUAUUUUAUUAUCUACAUCUACACAACCAACAUCAACCAGUCAAUCAACUGCAACGACACCUACAGAUCAAUCAACAACAACUGUAACAUCGACAUCAAUUGCACCAACAUCUACCACUCAGUCAACAACAACUGAUACAUCCUCAACACAAACUGCACCAACAUCUACCCCUCUAUCAUCAACUGCACCAGCAUCUUCAUCAACUGCAUCAAAUAUUUUAUUAUCUACAUCUACACAACCAACAUCAACCAGUCAAUCAACUGCAACGACACCUACAGAUCAAUCAACAACAACUGUAACAUCGACAUCAAUUGCACCAACAUCUACCACUCAGUCAACAACAACUGAUACAUCCUCAACACAAACUGCACCAACAUCUACCCCUCUAUCAUCAACUGCACCAGCAUCUUCAUCAACUGCAUCAAAUAUUUUAUUAUCUACAUCUACACAACCAACAUCAACCAGUCAAUCAACUGCAACGACACCUACAGAUCAAUCAACAACAACUGUAACAUCGACAUCAAUUGCACCAACAUCUACCACUCAGUCAACAACAACUGAUACAUCCUCAACACAAACUGCACCAACAUCUACCCCUCUAUCAUCAACUGCACCAGCAUCUUCAUCAACUGCAUCAAAUAUUUUAUUAUCUACAUCUACACAACCAACAUCAACCAGUCAAUCAACUGCAACGACACCUACAGAUCAAUCAACAACAACUGUAACAUCGACAUCAAUUGCACCAACAUCUACCACUCAGUCAACAACAACUGAUACAUCCUCAACACAAACUGCACCAACAUCUACCCCUCUAUCAUCAACUGCACCAGCAUCUUCAUCAACUGCAUCAAAUAUUUUAUUAUCUACAUCUACACAACCAACAUCAACCAGUCAAUCAACUGCAACGACACCUACAGAUCAAUCAACAACAACUGUAACAUCGACAUCAAUUGCACCAACAUCUACCACUCAGUCAACAACAACUGAUACAUCCUCAACACAAACUGCACCAACAUCUACCCCUCUAUCAUCAACUGCACCAGCAUCUUCAUCAACUGCAUCAAAUAUUUUAUUAUCUACAUCUACACAACCAACAUCAACCAGUCAAUCAACUGCAACGACACCUACAGAUCAAUCAACAACAACUGUAACAUCGACAUCAAUUGCACCAACAUCUACCACUCAGUCAACAACAACUGAUACAUCCUCAACACAAACUGCACCAACAUCUACCCCUCUAUCAUCAACUGCACCAGCAUCUUCAUCAACUGCAUCAAAUAUUUUAUUAUCUACAUCUACACAACCAACAUCAACCAGUCAAUCAACUGCAACGACACCUACAGAUCAAUCAACAACAACUGUAACAUCGACAUCAAUUGCACCAACAUCUACCACUCAGUCAACAACAACUGAUACAUCCUCAACACAAACUGCACCAACAUCUACCCCUCUAUCAUCAACUGCACCAGCAUCUUCAUCAACUGCAUCAAAUAUUUUAUUAUCUACAUCUACACAACCAACAUCAACCAGUCAAUCAACUGCAACGACACCUACAGAUCAAUCAACAACAACUGUAACAUCGACAUCAAUUGCACCAACAUCUACCACUCAGUCAACAACAACUGAUACAUCCUCAACACAAACUGCACCAACAUCUACCCCUCUAUCAUCAACUGCACCAGCAUCUUCAUCAACUGCAUCAAAUAUUUUAUUAUCUACAUCUACACAACCAACAUCAACCAGUCAAUCAACUGCAACGACACCUACAGAUCAAUCAACAACAACUGUAACAUCGACAUCAAUUGCACCAACAUCUACCACUCAGUCAACAACAACUGAUACAUCCUCAACACAAACUGCACCAACAUCUACCCCUCUAUCAUCAACUGCACCAGCAUCUUCAUCAACUGCAUCAAAUAUUUUAUUAUCUACAUCUACACAACCAACAUCAACCAGUCAAUCAACUGCAACGACACCUACAGAUCAAUCAACAACAACUGUAACAUCGACAUCAAUUGCACCAACAUCUACCACUCAGUCAACAACAACUGAUACAUCCUCAACACAAACUGCACCAACAUCUACCCCUCUAUCAUCAACUGCACCAGCAUCUUCAUCAACUGCAUCAAAUAUUUUAUUAUCUACAUCUACACAACCAACAUCAACCAGUCAAUCAACUGCAACGACACCUACAGAUCAAUCAACAACAACUGUAACAUCGACAUCAAUUGCACCAACAUCUACCACUCAGUCAACAACAACUGAUACAUCCUCAACACAAACUGCACCAACAUCUACCCCUCUAUCAUCAACUGCACCAGCAUCUUCAUCAACUGCAUCAAAUAUUUUAUUAUCUACAUCUACACAACCAACAUCAACCAGUCAAUCAACUGCAACGACACCUACAGAUCAAUCAACAACAACUGUAACAUCGACAUCAAUUGCACCAACAUCUACCACUCAGUCAACAACAACUGAUACAUCCUCAACACAAACUGCACCAACAUCUACCCCUCUAUCAUCAACUGCACCAGCAUCUUCAUCAACUGCAUCAAAUAUUUUAUUAUCUACAUCUACACAACCAACAUCAACCAGUCAAUCAACUGCAACGACACCUACAGAUCAAUCAACAACAACUGUAACAUCGACAUCAAUUGCACCAACAUCUACCACUCAGUCAACAACAACUGAUACAUCCUCAACACAAACUGCACCAACAUCUACCCCUCUAUCAUCAACUGCACCAGCAUCUUCAUCAACUGCAUCAAAUAUUUUAUUAUCUACAUCUACACAACCAACAUCAACCAGUCAAUCAACUGCAACGACACCUACAGAUCAAUCAACAACAACUGUAACAUCGACAUCAAUUGCACCAACAUCUACCACUCAGUCAACAACAACUGAUACAUCCUCAACACAAACUGCACCAACAUCUACCCCUCUAUCAUCAACUGCACCAGCAUCUUCAUCAACUGCAUCAAAUAUUUUAUUAUCUACAUCUACACAACCAACAUCAACCAGUCAAUCAACUGCAACGACACCUACAGAUCAAUCAACAACAACUGUAACAUCGACAUCAAUUGCACCAACAUCUACCACUCAGUCAACAACAACUGAUACAUCCUCAACACAAACUGCACCAACAUCUACCCCUCUAUCAUCAACUGCACCAGCAUCUUCAUCAACUGCAUCAAAUAUUUUAUUAUCUACAUCUACACAACCAACAUCAACCAGUCAAUCAACUGCAACGACACCUACAGAUCAAUCAACAACAACUGUAACAUCGACAUCAAUUGCACCAACAUCUACCACUCAGUCAACAACAACUGAUACAUCCUCAACACAAACUGCACCAACAUCUACCCCUCUAUCAUCAACUGCACCAGCAUCUUCAUCAACUGCAUCAAAUAUUUUAUUAUCUACAUCUACACAACCAACAUCAACCAGUCAAUCAACUGCAACGACACCUACAGAUCAAUCAACAACAACUGUAACAUCGACAUCAAUUGCACCAACAUCUACCACUCAGUCAACAACAACUGAUACAUCCUCAACACAAACUGCACCAACAUCUACCCCUCUAUCAUCCACAACUGCACCAGCAUCUUCAUCAACUGCGACUGCAUCAAAUAUUUUAUUUACAUCUACACAAGCAACAUCAACCAGUCAAUCAACUGCAACAACACCUACAACUCAAACUGCAACAUCAACAUCAGCUGCACCAUCUACUACAAGAACAACAACUGCACCAACUUCGAGAUCAACUGCAUCAACAUUGAUAUCAGCUGCAUUAACAUCUACUCGAACACCGACACCUACUUCUCAAAUAACAACUCAAGUUAUAUCUACAACUCAAACAGCAAGCAAGUCAACAUCUUCAUCUCCAGAUGUUGUCCCACAAAAUAUGACAGCAUUUGCAUACGCAACCUUUACAUUGAGAUCCUCUGUUGAGCUAAGCAAUGAUGAAAUCAUUACUUAUAUUGAAAAGGUAAGUUGUUAUUUUGUAAUUAACAUUUUUUGCCUAAUUGUAAGCAUUGACGUUGUCGAACUGUUGAAGAAUUAACAACUAAGAAAUAUAUCAAGCAAGCAAUAUAUAUAUAUAUAUAUAUAUAUAUAUAUAUAUAUAUAAUACAAUUACCAGUGAUAAACAAAAAAACAUUAUUUUGAAAUUUGAUAAGUGCACUAAGCCAGGGGUUCUAAAACCUGUCCUGGAGGGACAUUUUGUUUGUCUGCCUUAU
ensembl:lncRNA